ensembl:lncRNA
GGGCUCUCUCUUGCCGUCCCUGGAAGGGGUGCGUCACCUGAGUGGGUUGAUUCACUGAUGUGGUCAUCCUGUCUGGGAUGGCGCCCCCCCUUGGGUAGUCCUGGGGCAUGGUCCUAGGGCUCAGGUCCUCCGAGAGAGAGAAAGAAAGAGAGAAGGAGAGAAUUAGAGAACGCACACUUAGAUUCACACAGGACACCGAAUAGGACAGGAGAAGUACUCCAGAUAUAACAAACUGACCCCAGCCCCCCGACACAUAAACUACUGCAGCAUAAAUACUGGAGGCUGAGACAGGAGGGGUCAGGAGACACUGUGGCCCCAUCCGAGGUCACCCC